CUGAAACGGAGGUAAGCAAUCUUUCAUUUAAGAUAACCUUUUCCAUUUAGAUAUUAUCAUAAUUCUUUCUUUGCGAGUAAUCACACACCUUGAAGCUGCAAAAAUUUCACUUUUGUUAGAUCAAAAAGAAAUCGGUUUUCUUCUGAAAAGAGUUCAAAUUACAUUUUUCAUUCUGAUACUAGUUCAGAAAGUACUCUGUGUGCAUGUUUUUCUUUUGAUCUUGAAUCUCACAUAGAAAUUUCAAGGAUCCCAAACCGAAAG
rnacentral:misc_RNA from 1 species